ensembl:lncRNA
AAAAAAUAAAGAAAAACGCGUUAUCCCGUCGCUGUGAACGAUGCUCUGCCCCUGCUCAUCGCCGAGCGGAGGCCAUCGGCUCCCUGCCCGCCGCAAAGCCCCGCUUCCCAUGGGGAGCCCGCACCGAACACUCUACCGGUCCAUCUCUCCCGUGCCCCGGGGCGCCCAGGACGCGCCCACCCUGUCCUCCUUCCAGCGCCGCGGCAUCGCGGAGCUGCGCAGCGUUCCGCCGGGCAGGGUGGAGACGCAGAGAAGCGGGGCGGGGAAGAGGAGCCGGCGCCCUCGGCUGGCGGCCGCGGGGACUUCGGGGGAGAGAGGAGAGGCUCCUAGCGGGGCCGGGGCCGGGCCGUGGCGCCGCCUGGCGGCAGCUGUGCACGGGAUCUCAAACUCAACUUGAAAAACUGGAAUAUGCAUUGACUAGGGAGCCAUACCUUAAGGCUUUCACUACUGGACAAAUAACAAAUCCCUAAGAAUAAUGACAUCAUCAUAGCUGAAGCUCAUAACUCAGAUGUAUCCUGGAAGAUCCUGGGAGGAACAUGAAUAUGGGUCAGGGUCAUCUAGUGCCACUGAGCUCACCUGGACUGCCAUCUAGUUAUCCUGCCUGAGACAUCUACCUUUGGAUAAGAUCUCCUGGAGCUUUGUGAUGUUCCUUCUAGUGCAUCAUGGCAUAGAGAGACAUGUCUGGAAGACUUCAAACCUAUUUUAGAAAGAAAUACCGGAACAAAUAUGAUGUACUGCAACCAGAUGGUGACUAUCAGGGAAAAAGACUAAUCACAGGUUAAAGAAGUGCAAUUAAGGGAUAAUUAUUACUUUUUUUAAUCUAUGAAAUUUUCUGCAUGUGUAUGAAAACUUGUUGAAGUUGUAGAUGAUUACAAGGAAAAACACAUCAAAACAAUUUUGUCAAUUCGAUGAAUUUAUUGUUUUUCAUUAUUUCAGUGUUUUAUAAAGAUUCUACAUGGUUAACAUUUCAUGAUAAUUAGGGAGGUGUCAUAAUGCACCUUCUGAAUCUCUAUUAAUAGCAGGUGAGAAAAAAAUGUAUUUAAAAAAAUUAUGUAUAUCAAUGACCACUCCAUAAUUCUGUCCACUUCCAUCCAUCAGCUUCUAAUUGUGUCCUGCUGCUUGUGUAUUCAAGUCUUUCACAUUAUGUCUGGUUUUUUUUUUUGAGACCAGUGUUUAUUCAUAUGGCUAACUGCAAAGGUAGAUGGGUAAAAUGGAAAAGAAAGGUGGGAUCGUGUUUUCCUUUUCUGUCUCCCUUUCUCUCUCUCUCUCUUUUACUCUCCCCCUCUUUUCUAAACAAGCUAAGAGUUUUUAUAAUUCAUCACCUGGCUGACAGAUGAGUUCUGCUGGAGAAUAUUAGAAAAUGUCUCAAAUCUCAUAUAUAUGCUAAUGGUAUGCUGAGACUGGUUGGUGGUAUGCCGGAGUUUUUAAUCUGUCUCGACCAGUGUGGAAAGUGGAGGAGACAAGUCAUUGCACUCGACAAUUUAUGAUCAAACAACUGAAUUGUAAAGGAAGAAGGACAUGCAGAAAAGGAGAGUAAUUUUCUGAUUUAACAGCGUUGUUACUACAAAUAAAGAAAUCUUGAUUUUGACUGCACUCGACAUUAAAUGAGUUUCCUGUGUCCUGCUCUGAAUUUUUCAUUUCCAGAUUUGUAUAAAGCACCCUGCUUAGAUACAAGUGACAGAUAAGGAGACGAUUGCAUAUGGAAAUCAAAUGUGUAUAAUAAAGCCAUCUUCUGUUUAUUAAAUAAACACAUGUAGAGGAC